UUAUGAGAGUUUGAUCCUGGCUCAGGACGAACGCUGGCGGCGUGCCUAAUACAUGCAAGUCGAACGCUUCUUUUUCCACCGGAGCUUGCUCCACCGGAAAAAGAGGAGUGGCGAACGGGUGAGUAACACGUGGGUAACCUGCCCAUCAGAAGGGGAUAACACUUGGAAACAGGUGCUAAUACCGUAUAACAAUCGAAACCGCAUGGUUUUGAUUUGAAAGGCGCUUUCGGGUGUCGCUGAUGGAUGGACCCGCGGUGCAUUAGCUAGUUGGUGAGGUAACGGCUCACCAAGGCCACGAUGCAUAGCCGACCUGAGAGGGUGAUCGGCCACAUUGGGACUGAGACACGGCCCAAACUCCUACGGGAGGCAGCAGUAGGGAAUCUUCGGCAAUGGACGAAAGUCUGACCGAGCAACGCCGCGUGAGUGAAGAAGGUUUUCGGAUCGUAAAACUCUGUUGUUAGAGAAGAACAAGGAUGAGAGUAACUGUUCAUCCCUUGACGGUAUCUAACCAGAAAGCCACGGCUAACUACGUGCCAGCAGCCGCGGUAAUACGUAGGUGGCAAGCGUUGUCCGGAUUUAUUGGGCGUAAAGCGAGCGCAGGCGGUUUCUUAAGUCUGAUGUGAAAGCCCCCGGCUCAACCGGGGAGGGUCAUUGGAAACUGGGAGACUUGAGUGCAGAAGAGGAGAGUGGAAUUCCAUGUGUAGCGGUGAAAUGCGUAGAUAUAUGGAGGAACACCAGUGGCGAAGGCGGCUCUCUGGUCUGUAACUGACGCUGAGGCUCGAAAGCGUGGGGAGCAAACAGGAUUAGAUACCCUGGUAGUCCACGCCGUAAACGAUGAGUGCUAAGUGUUGGAGGGUUUCCGCCCUUCAGUGCUGCAGCUAACGCAUUAAGCACUCCGCCUGGGGAGUACGACCGCAAGGUUGAAACUCAAAGGAAUUGACGGGGGCCCGCACAAGCGGUGGAGCAUGUGGUUUAAUUCGAAGCAACGCGAAGAACCUUACCAGGUCUUGACCUAACGUAUAGAUAGGAAUACCAAAAAUAACGCCCACAAUUCCCAUUAGAUCACCCAUGACAAGUAGCUCGUGUCGUGAGAUGUUGGGUUAAGUCCCGCAACGAGCGCAACCCUUAUUGUUAGUUGCCAUCAUUCAGUUGGGCACUCUAGCAAGACUGCCGGUGACAAACCGGAGGAAGGUGGGGAUGACGUCAAAUCAUCAUGCCCCUUAUGACCUGGGCUACACACGUGCUACAAUGGGAAGUACAACGAGUUGCGAAGUCGCGAGGCUAAGCUAAUCUCUUAAAGCUUCUCUCAGUUCGGAUUGCAGGCUGCAACUCGCCUGCAUGAAGCCGGAAUCGCUAGUAAUCGCGGAUCAGCACGCCGCGGUGAAUACGUUCCCGGGCCUUGUACACACCGCCCGUCACACCACGAGAGUUUGUAACACCCGAAGUCGGUGAGGUAACCUUUUGGAGCCAGUCGCCUAAGGUGGGAUAGAUGAUUGGGGUGAAGUCGUAACAAGGUAGCCGUAUCGGAAGGUGCGGCUGGAUCACCUCCUUU
rnacentral:rRNA from 1 species